rnacentral:rRNA from 1 species
AUUGAACGCUGGCGGCAGGCCUAACACAUGCAAGUCGAGCGGAUGAAGGGAGCUUGCUCCUGGAUUCAGCGGCGGACGGGUGAGUAAUGCCUAGGAAUCUGCCUGGUAGUGGGGGAUAACGUCCGGAAACGGGCGCUAAUACCGCAUACGUCCUGAGGGAGAAAGUGGGGGAUCUUCGGACCUCACGCUAUCAGAUGAGCCUAGGUCGGAUUAGCUAGUUGGUGGGGUAAAGGCCUACCAAGGCGACGAUCCGUAACUGGUCUGAGAGGAUGAUCAGUCACACUUGAACUGAGACACGGUCCAGACUCCUAAGGGAGGCAGCAGUGGGGAAUAUUGGACAAUGGGCGAAAGCCUGAUCCAGCCAUGCCGCGUGUGUGAAGAAGGUCUUCGGAUUUGAAAGCACUUUAAGUUGGGAGGAAGGGCAGUAAGUUAAUACCUUGCUGUUUUGACGUUACCAACAGAAUAAGCACCGGCUAACUUCGUG